GAUGAAGAACGUAGCGAAAUGCGAUAAGUAGUGUGAAUUGCAGAAUUCAGUGAAUCAUCGAAUCUUUGAACGCACAUUGCGCCCCUUGGUAUUCCAUGGGGCAUGCCUGUUCGAGCGUCAUUUCAACCAUCAAGCUCCCGGGCUUGCGUUGGGGCCCUGCGGCUGCCGCAGGCCCCUAAAACCAGUGGCGGGCUCGCUGUCACACCGAGCGCAGUAGCAUUUCUUCGCUCUGGGCGCGGCGGCGGGCGCUUGCCGUAAAACAUACCACUUUUUAAAGGUUGACCUCGGAUCAGGUAGGAAUACCCGCUGAACUUAAGCAUAUCAAUAAGCGGAGGA
rnacentral:misc_RNA from 1 species